UACGGAGGAUGCAAGCGUUAUCCGGAUUUAUUGGGUUUAAAGGGUGCGCAGGCGGGAGAUUAAGUCGGCGGUGAAAUUUUGCAGCUCAACUGUAAAAGUGCCUUCGAAACUGGUUUCCUUGAGUGUAGAUGAAGUAGGCGGAAUUUGUGGUGUAGCGGUUAAAUGCAUAGAUAUCACGAGGAACUCCGAUUGCGCAGGCAGCUUACUAAACUACUACUGACGCUCAGGCACGAAGGCGUGGGGAUCAAACAGGAUUAGAUACCCUGGUA
rnacentral:rRNA from 1 species